rnacentral:lncRNA from 1 species
AGACAGACCAGGCUUGUUGUAUUUUGAUGUAUUACGAAGUGUGGCAAUGGAGUAAAAUCUCAGAUAUGUAAGUAUUUUAUUAGAAUUAAAGAAGACAUUGAUUGAGACUCAGAUUUUUAUUUCAAGCUUGGGUCUCAUUUAUAUGAACACAUCCUACUGGAUUGAUCCUCUGUCAAGUUCCAUGAGUGUGUUUAAUUUCCAGUGUAGUAAACAAAUGAAGCAUUGGAGUUAUCAGGUUAUUUGGAAGAGCUUGAGAAAAACAUGGAAACAACAUUGAGAUAAGUAGAGAAAUGACAAUCCUGGCCUAUUUAAGACUCUCCUUUGCAGGCAGGUGUUCAGAGCAGCUGAAGAACGUCUCCUGUGGUCAGACAUCUGCAUCACCAAGCUCACUGGGGACCUGCCAGGCUCUUCACUGGUGACAUGGAGGAUGAUGGUCUCCAGCCCCGUCUGCAGACUUAGCUGUGACCUGGCCCAGAUCCAUGGCCUGCCAAAGCAGGAGACCCCCACAAUUCUGCACCUAAUGGGGAGAGUCUUCCUUGUUUUCCUGCCUGAAGGACAGGAAUGCUUUUGGGUUCCCAAGAAGCUGAACCCAAAAACCUCAUGCCACCUCUUUCUCCAUGAGAUGAUCCAGCCGAGCUUUAGCUUCUUCAGCACAGACAGUUGAAAUUCCUCACUGGGCUUGAUCAACAGGAGGAGGAUCUGGAGACCAGUUUGGUGCAGGAGCCUGGGGAAGAAAAGACCUUCCUGGAAAGGAAGACUCCAACCUGACUUUGAAGAAGUCCUUUUGAAGGACCAGGCUACACCUGAAAAGAAAGUACAUUGCUGCUGUGUGUGGGACUUCAUCAGACUGGAAGUUAAGAUGUGAAAGUAGGCUGUGCUUUCCCUGUAGCAUCAACCUCAGAGAAAACCCAGAAGUGGGCAAGGAGACUUGAAGCCAGUCAUCCACAAUUGAGUUUUGCCUAUUUAUAGGUGCCACAAGUUCAAUGUUUCCUCAGUUCAAAGCCAUUUUUGCUUCAGUUGUAAAUGCACUGAGUCAUCUCAGCACAUUGAUUUUAGUCGUAAUUGGAAAUAAUACUUUUGAAUCCAGAGAAACUAUAUUUUUAAAUUUGUAAUAAUUAGAAUUUAUCUAUUAUGAUUGCUGCAUUUACAAAAUUUGUACUUAUGAUUUGGUCAGUUUUUCUUUGGGGGUAUACAAGGUAUAUUUUAACUGUUAGCUUUUACUUAUAAACUGUAAAGAAUCAAAAGUGUUGGGGCAUUCCCACUGUGACACAGUAAAGAAUCAAAGUGUCCUUAAACCUUAAAUCUGACUUAAAAUCAAAAAGGAAUAUAAUUAGUUUUAUUUAUUUCAUUGAUUCUUAACAUAUUUUUAUGCUACAGUAGUUUACUUGUGUUUGUGAAUAUAUUGGUAAAUAAAACAAAGAUACUGCUUCCUCCGAAGAUUUUCUGUUGGAGAGGAUGGGGCUUAAAAUGUCAUAAGGAGAGAACUCUUGUUGGACCGGGAAGGAGAAACAUAAGGCACUGGGACAGGUUAUCGCAGCAGGAGCUCUUCCCUUUUUUAAUUUUUAAAUUUAUUUUUUUUAAUUACAUUAGAGUGUGGUUGACUUACAAUGGAGUACAGUUUCAGGUGUACAACAAAGUGAAUCAGUUAUACAUGUACAUAUAUCCUGUGCUGGGUGCCAGAUACAAUGACCAGAGCAGACACCUUGGUAUUGUCACAGAGCUCCAGUCUGGUGGGGAUAUGGUUUGCCAAGCAUUCAACUAAAGGCAUGUUGAUACUGUGACAGGGAAAGUGCAGGACACUGGGAGCAUGUGGGAUCCCACGGAUCAGAGAAAGCUUCUGGAAGAAGCAGCUGGUAAGCUGGCAUCUCAAGGGUCUGCAGGGUUAGCCAGGUAAUUGCAUGAUGGCCAGUGGUGGACAUGUUGUGUGGAGAUCGUGUAGGGUAGCAGGGAGAUAAAGGGUUUGGAGAGGAACAAGUGUUUUGAGAUGUGGCUCUGGGUAAAGUCAUGCAUAUGGAAGUUGUAAUCUCAGAGAUGACAUUUGGAACCAUUUGGGAGAUUGAGACUCUGUGCAGAGAGGAUGAAGUGUGAUGCUAGUGUGGAAUUUUGAGGAAAACCGAAGGUCCCUAAGAUGAGAGGGAGGAGUCAGCAAAAGCAGAUGAGGAGGAGCAGAAAAUCAGGGUAUGAUGGUGACAUAGAAACCAGCUGAAGGUCCAACUUUAAAAUGGUCAAUGUGGGAACAAGUGUUUGAUGCUUCUAAAAUGUCAGCUGGGGCUGCCUGGCAGUGAACUGUGGCCUCAGUAAGAUGUAGUUUGUUAUACACCUUGCCUGAGCAGUUUCAAGAAAACAGAGAGAUGGGCACCAGAUUAUAGCAAUUGGAGAAAUGAGCUUUAUAUCAAGAAAUAAGGACUCAUAUUGCAGAGACAUUCUAGAAGUUUGGAUCUGAACAGAGUAAGAGAAUACAUACGGGUAGUUGUAAGAAAUGGUCAUAUUCCAGAUGUAGAAGAUGGAAAUUAUGUGCAUUUAAUGUUGAUCAAAACUAGCCAGUCCAAAGGAAGAUGUGGAUACAGCGGAGAGAGGAGCUGACUGAUAAAGCAUAAGCAUCUCUCUGAAGCCUUUUCUACUUUGUAGCAAGGGAAUCUCUCCCCAAAGCUACAUCUUCUGAAACUGACACUCCAUGAGGAUUUGCACCCUGGAACAGCCAUGGUGAGUCUUGGGAUUUGCAAGGGAGAAUUUCUUUUAUAAAAUGAUAUAAAGGUCUGAAUGAGAGAAUGGAGGUGGGAAUGGGGAAUGGCCAAAUGUCCAUCUCUCUUUUUAGGCAUAUCAGUUCUAUGCAAGCAUAUGUAUCAGUGUUGACCAUGUUUAAAAAACUGCUUAAUGAAAUAUUUAAGUAAUUUGAACUUUUAAAAAAUAUUACAAAUGGAUUAUCUUCUGAAUUAUUUAUUUAUUUAUUAUUCUACUGUACAGCAUGGUGUCCCAGUUACACUUACAUGUAUACAUUCUUUUUUCUCACAUUAUCAGGCUCCAUCAUAAGUGACUAGAAGAGUUCCCAGUGCUAAACAGCAGGAUCCUAUUGCUAAUCCAUCCCAAAGGCCACCUUCUGCAUCUGUUUACCCCAAGCUCCCAGUCCCUCCCAAUCCCUCCCCUUUCCCCUUGGCAACCACAAAUCUAUUCUGCAAGUCCAUGAUUUUCUUUUCUGUGGAAAGGUUCCUUUGUGCCACAUAUUAGAUUCCAGAUAUAAGUGAUAUCAUAUGGUAUUUGUCUUUCUCACUUACCUCACUCAGGAUGAGAGUCUCUGGUUCCAUCCAUGUUGCUGCAAAUGGCAUAAUUUUGUUCUUUUUUAUGCCUGUGUAGUAUCCCAUCGUGUAUAUAUAUAUACCACAUCUUCCUAAUCCAAUCAUUUGUCGAUGGACAUUUGGGUUGUUUCCAUGUCUUGGCUAUUGUGAAUAGUGCUGCAAUGAACAUGCGGGUGCACGUGUCUCUUUAAGGAGAGUUUUGUCUGGAUAUAUGCCCAAGAGUAGGAUUGCUGGGUUGUAUAAUAGUUCUAUGUGUAGAUUUCUAAGGUACCUCCAUACUGUUCUCCAUAGUGGUUGUACCAGCUUACAUUCCUGCCAACAGUGCAGGAUAGUUCCCUUUUCUCCAUCACCCCCUCCAGCAUUUGUUAUUUGUGGACUUAUUAAUAAUGGCCAUUCUGACUGGUGUGAGGUGGUGUCUCAUGGUAGUUUUGAUUUGCAUUUCUCUAAUAAUCAGGGAUGUUGAGCAUUGUUUCAAGUGCUUGUUGGCCAUCUGUACAUCUUCCUUGGAAAAAUGUCUAUUCAGGUCUUUUGCCCAUUUUUCAAUUGGGUUGUUGGCUUUUUUGUUGAGUUGUAUUAAGUUGUUUGCAUAUUUUAGAGAUUAGGCCCUUGUCAGUUGCAUCAUUUGAAAGUAUUUUCUCCCAUUCUGUAAGUUGUCUUUUUGUUUUCUUUUUGGUUUCCUCUACUGCGCAAAGGUUGUCAGUUUGAGUAGGUCCCAUUGGUUUAUUUUUGCUUUUAUUUCUGUUGCGUUGGGAGACUGACCUAAGAAAACAUUUGUAAGGUUGAUGUCAGUGAAUGUUUUGCCUAUGUUCUUUUCCAGGAGUUUGAUGGUGUCUUGUCUUAUAUUUAAGCCUUUCAGGCAUUUUGAGUUUAUUUUUGUACAUGAUGUGAGGGUGUGUUCCAGUUUCACUGAUUUGCAUGUAGCUGUCCAGGUUUCCCAGCAAUACUUGCUGAAAAGACUUUCUUUUUCCCAUUUUAUAUUCUUGUCUCCUUUGUCAAAGAUUAAUUGACCAUAGGUGGCUGGGUUUAUUUCUGGGUUCUCUGUUCCGUUCCAUUGGUCUGUAUGUUUGUUUUGGUACCAGUACCACACUGUCUUGAUUACUGUGGCUCUGUAAUAUUAUCUGAAGUCUGGGAGAGUUCUGCCUCCUGCUUGGUUUUUGUUCUUCAGAAUUGCUGAAUAAUUAAAAUACAAUUUUUGACUUAGGAAAAAUGGAGUUUUCCUAGUCAUGUCAGCAAGAAAUUUUGCCUGAAGUUUCCAUCAUGGUGCAGUGGUUAACGAAUCCAGCUAGGAACCAUGAGGCUGCAGGUUUGAUCCCUGGCCUUGCUCAGUGGGUUAAGGAUCUGGCGUUGCCGUGAGCUGUGGUAUAGGUUGCAGAUGCGGCUUGGAUCCCAUGUUGUUGUGGCUCUGGCGUUGGUGUGACUACAGCUUUGAUUAGACCCCUAACCUGGGAACCUCCAUA